GGCGUGGAUUAGGCAUGCAAGUCGAGCGGAAAGGUCCCUUCGGGGAGUACUCGAGCGGCGAAAGGGAGAGUAAUGCGUGGAUCAUCUACCCCCGGGACCGGGAUAGCCACGGGAAACUGUGGGUAAUACCGGAUAACGUCUCCGGACCAAAGGUGCGAUUCCGCCCAGGGAUGAGUCCACGCCCUACUAGCUUGUUGGUGGGGUAAUGGCCUACCAAGGCAACGAUGGGUACCGGGCGUGAGAGCGUGAUCCGGCUCACUGGGACUGAGACACUACCCAGACACCUACGGGUGGCUGCAGUCGAGAAUCUUCGGCAAUGGACGAAAGUCUGACCGAGCGACGCCGUGUGUGUGAUGAAGGCCUUCGGGUUGUAAAACACUGUCAGUUGUGAGGAAAUCUCAGGGGGCUAUCCCUCUGAGUUGACCUAGCUUCAGAGGAAGGACGGGCUAAGUUCGUGCCAGCAGCCGCGGUAAGACGAACCGUCCAAACGUUAUUCGGAAUCACUGGGCUUAAAGGGUGCGUAGGCGGCAUAUCAAGUGGGGUGUGAAAUACCUCGGCUCAACCGAGGAACUGCGCUCCAAACUGAUAUGCUUGAGGAAGGCAGAGGUAAGCGGAACUUGCGGUGGAGCGGUGAAAUGCUUUGAUAUCGCAAGGAACACCAGUGGCGAAGGCGGCUUACUGGGCCUUUUCUGACGCUCAGGCACGAAAGCUAGGGGAGCGAACGGGAUUAGAUACCCCGGUAGUCCUAGCUGUAAACAUUGAGCACUUGGUCAGGGGAUUCUCCAUAGUUUCCUGGCCGUAGCGAAAGUGUUAAGUGCUCCGCCUGGGGAGUAUGGUCGCAAGGCUGAAACUCAAAGGAAUUGACGGGGGCCCGCACAAGCGGUGGAACAUGUGGUUUAAUUCGAUGAUACGCGAGGAACCUUACCUGGGCUUAAAUGUAGACUGCAUUUCCGGGAAACCGGAAUUUCCUUCGGGACCGUCUACAAGGUGCUGCAUGGUUGUCGUCAGCUCGUGCCGUGAGGUGUCGGGUUAAGUCCCAUAACGAGCGCAACCCCUAUCGUUAGUUGCCAGCGAGUAAUGUCGGGGACUCUAGCGAAACUGCCGGUGUAAACCGAGAGGAAGGUGGGGAUGACGUCAAAUCAGCACGGCCCUUAUGUCCAGGGCUACACACGUGUUACAAUGGUCAGUACAAAGGGCAGCUACCUGGUGACAGGAUGCUAAUCUCGAAAACUGGUCUCAGUUCGGAUUGGAGUCUGCAAUUCGACUCCAUGAAGCUGGAAUCGCUAGUAAUCGCGCAUCAGCAACGGCGCGGUGAUACGUUCCCGGGCCUUGUACACACCGCCCGUCAAGCCAUGGAAGCUGGGGGUGCCUGAAGUCCGUA
rnacentral:rRNA from 1 species